UAUAGUCAAGUAAUUAAGUGCAUGUGGUGGAUGCCUUGGCAGUCAGAGGCGAUGAAAGACGUGAUAGCCUGCGAAAAGCUCCGGGGAGGCGGCAAAUAUCCUUUGAUCCGGAGAUGUCUGAAUGGGGGAACCCACCUACUUUAAGGUAGGUAUUGCAACAUGAAUACAUAGUGUUGCAAGGCGAACGAGGGGAAGUGAAACAUCUCAGUACCCUUAGGAAAAGAAAUCAAUUGAGAUUCCCUCAGUAGCGGCGAGCGAACGGGGAUCAGCCCAUUAAGUUAUGUGUGUUUUAGUGGAACGCUCUGGGAAGUGCGAACGUAGAGGGNUGAUAUUCCCGUACACGAAAGGGCACACAUAAUGAUGACGAGUAGGGCGAGGCACGUGAAACCUUGUCUGAAUAUGGGGGGACCAUCCUCCAAGGCUAAAUACUCCUGACUGACCGAUAGUGAACCAGUACCGUGAGGGAAAGGCGAAAAGAACCCCUGUGAGGGGAGUGAAAUAGAUCCUGAAACCGCAUGCAUACAAGCAGUGGGAGCACCUUNNNNNNNNNNNNNNNNNNNNNNNNNNNNNUGUGGUGUGACUGCGUACCUUUUGUAUAAUGGGUCAGCGACUUAUAUUCAGUAGCAAGGUUAACCGUAUAGGGGAGCCGUAGAGAAAUCGAGUCUUAAUAGGGCGUUUAGUUGCUGGGUAUAGACCCGAAACCAGGCGAUCUAUCCAUGAGCAGGNNNNNNNNNNNNNNNNNNNNNNNNNNNNNNNNNNNNNNNNNUUGAAGGUUGGGUAACACUAACUGGAGGACCGAACCCACUGUCGUUGAAAAGCCAGGGGAUGACUUGUGGAUAGGGGUGAAAGGCUAAUCAAGCCUGGUGAUAGCUGGUUCUCCCCGAAAGCUAUUUAGGUAGCGCCUCGGACGAAUACCAUAGGGGGNUAGAGCACUGUUUCGGCUAGGGGGUCAUCCCGACUUACCAAACCGAUGCAAACUCCGAAUACCUAUGAGUACUAUCCGGGAGACAGACUGCGGGUGCUAACGUCCGUAGUCAAGAGGAAAACAAUCCAGACCGCCAGCUAAGGCCCCAAAAUCAUAGUUAAGUGGGAAACGAUGUGGGAAGGCAUAGACAGCUAGGAGGUUGGCUUAGAAGCAGCCACCCUUUAAAGAAAGCGUAAUAGCUCACUAGUCGAGUCGGCCUGCGCGGAAGAUGUAACGGGGCUAAAACUAUGUGCCGAAGCUGCGGAUGUAUACUUUGUAUACGUGGUAGGGGAGCGUUCUGUAAGCCGAUGAAGGUGUGUUGAGAAGCAUGCUGGAGGUAUCAGAAGUGCGAAUGCUGACGUGAGUAACGACAAAACGGGUGAAAAACCCGUUCGCCGAAAGACCAAGGGUUCCAGUCCAACGUUAAUCGGGGCUGGGUGAGUCGACCCCUAAGGCGAGGCCGAAAGGCGUAGUCGAUGGGAAAAUGGUUAAUAUUCCAUUACUUCUGUGUAAUGCGAUGAGAGGACGGAGAAGGCUAAAUCAGCCUGGCGUUGGUUGUCCAGGUGAAAGGAUGUAGGCAUGUAUCUUAGGCAAAUCCGGGGUACUCUAUGCUGAGAUCUGAUAGCAAGCUGUACUUGUACAGCGAAGUGGUUGAUGCCAUGCUUCCAGGAAAAGUCUCUAAGCUUCAGUUACACAGGAAUCGUACCCGAAACCGACACAGGUGGUCAGGUCGAGUAGACCAAGGCGCUUGAGAGAACUCUGCUGAAGGAACUAGGCAAAAUGGUACCGUAACUUCGGGAGAAGGUACGCUGUUGUUGGUGAUGGAACUCGCUUCCUGAGCUGACGACAGCCGCAGAAACCAGGCCGCUGCAACUGUUUAUUAAAAACAUAGCACUCUGCAAACACGAAAGUGGACGUAUAGGGUGUGAUGCCUGCCCGGUGCUGGAAGGUUAAUUGAUGGGGUUAGCGUAAGCGAAGCUCUUGAUCGAAGCCCCAGUAAACGGCGGCCGUAACUAUAACGGUCCUAAGGUAGCGAAAUUCCUUGUCGGGUAAGUUCCGACCUGCACGAAUGGCAUAAUGAUGGCGGCGCUGUCUCCAGCAGAGGCUCAGUGAAAUCGAAAUCGCUGUGAAGAUGCAGUGUACCCGCGGCUAGACGGAAAGACCCCGUGAACCUUUACUGCAGCUUGACACUGAACUUUGACCUUACUUGUGUAGGAUAGGUGGGAGGCUUUGAAGCUGGAACGCUAGUUCCAGUGGAGCCGUCCUUGAAAUACCACCCUGGUAAUGUUGAGGUUCUAACUCUGUCCCGUGAUCCGGGACGAGGACCGUGUCUGGUGGGUAGUUUGACUGGGGCGGUCUCCUCCUAAAGAGUAACGGAGGAGUACGAAGGUGCGCUCAGCGUGGUCGGAAAUCACGCGUAGAGUAUAAAGGCAAAAGCGCGCUUAACUGCGAGACCCACAAGUCGAGCAGGUACGAAAGUAGGUCUUAGUGAUCCGGUGGUUCUGUAUGGAAGGGCCAUCGCUCAACGGAUAAAAGGUACUCUGGGGAUAACAGGCUGAUACCGCCCAAGAGUUCAUAUCGACGGCGGUGUUUGGCACCUCGAUGUCGGCUCAUCUCAUCCUGGGGCUGAAGCAGGUCCCAAGGGUAUGGCUGUUCGCCAUUUAAAGAGGUACGCGAGCUGGGUUUAGAACGUCGUGAGACAGUUCGGUCCCUAUCUACCGUGGGCGCUGGAAAUUUGAGAGGAUCUGCUCCUAGUACGAGAGGACCAGAGUGGACGAACCUCUGGUGUACCGGUUGUGACGCCAGUCGCAUCGCCGGGUAGCUAUGUUCGGAAGGGAUAACCGCUGAAAGCAUCUAAGCGGGAAGCCUACCUCAAGAUAAGAUUUCCCUAGGACUUUAUGUCCUCUAAAGAGCCGUUCGAGACUAGGACGUUGAUAGGUUGGAUGUGGAAGCAUAGUGAUAUGUGAAGCUGACCAAUACUAAUUGCUCGUGAGGCUUGACUAUACAACACCCAAGCAGUUG
rnacentral:rRNA from 1 species